CAAAUACUCCCUCCGUCCUAAAAUACUUGUCCUAGAAAUGUACAAAAUGCAUGUAUCUAUAACUAAAAUAAGUCUAGAUACAUCUAUUUCUAGGAUAAGUAUUUCCGUACGGAGGGAGUAUAUU
rfam:Hordeum vulgare subsp. vulgare, WGS project CAJW01000000 data, contig: morex_contig_109538